CUUAAUCACUGUGUAAUUAUGUCCAAGCAUCAGUCACUCGCUGAGUGGCUUCUGCAGAACACUGACCUGGGGGAAAUGUUCCUUGUUUGGAACAGAAACCACGAAGCUGGAAAUUCUCAGGGUAACGUUUCUGGUCCUGCUUAGGAAAAUCAUGCUGGAACGCCAAGCAUCUCCACUGUCUUCUGUCCUGACAGCUUUUGUUUGGGGUUUUCAUUUACGAAAGGCAAGGAUUUGGCAGAGAGGGGGAAAUCUGAUGGCAGCGCAAGGAAACAACAACAACAACAACAACAAACCCGAUUUCUGCACAAAAUCUGCAAUGGAAAAUAACCAGAAAUUAUUUCAUCUGCCUCCUUUGAGAAGCAUUUGCAGGGCCGGCCCUGGGGCUGCCCUGUGCUCACCCACAUCCCCGGGCGUCACGCUGCGGCAGCCACGGAAUUGGCAGCAGAACCUCUUGGUGCCGCGAAACCUGAUUAUUUUUUUAUUAUCAUUUAAUAUAUUUUGGGGGAAUAACAAGAAGAAAAAGCCCUCUCCAUGCUCUACACAGACAGUGCUUCCAACAGGAGAAGAGAUGCUCUCCAUCCUCCGCUGGAGCUCCGUGGCGUCUUUGGGAGGACCGUCCCGCGUGCCCCUAUAUGUGACCCACACCGGAGGGCAGAGCCCCUCGGUGGGCUGCAGGGCACCAGGUGCAGAGCUGGGAGAGGGGCACACGGCCCCAGCGCAGCACCAGGAGGGCAGCCAGGUGUAACAACUGCGUCUGUGCUGAUCAUAAAAUCAUAGAAUCAUUAAGGUUGGAAGACCUCUAAGAUCACCCAGUCCAACCCCAGCCCAGCCCACCAUGCCCACUGACCACAUCCCUCAGUGCCACAUCCCCACAGCUCUGGAACACCUCCAGGGUUGGUGACCCCACACUACCUGUGCAGCUGUGCCACUGCAUCACCACUCUUAUGGAGAAGACUUUGUUCCUAACACCCAACCUGAUGGCAGCACCGUGCCCACGUGCAGCAAGGACCACAGAGAAGAUCACAGAACGCCCUGAGGGAGCCAUCGCAUCCAACUCCUGGCUGUGCACAGACAACCAAAGAGGAAACCUGUGUACCUGAGAGCAUUUCCCAGUGCUCUUAGAGCCAAUAUCCUUCUCAUUUUUGGUGCCCCGGGCCCCGACAGGACCAGCAAGAGUGACAGCUUCACCCACCUGCAAGAAGAGCGAUACUGAGGAGUAGAACUGGAGCUGUCUGCUGUAAAGCACCCUGCCACUGGGUCAUAGCUGUGUUAUGUAUAAAUCAGUACACAC